ACUAUCAACGGUCUGUGGGGGAGACGAAUUAGCGCUUGCGGCGUUUCAGAGCUGAAUCCUAUCCCCGAAGGAAAAAGCAGAAGGGGCAGGCCGUCGGCUACGCAGACGCCUGCCGCCUCGGGGGCUGCGGCGGGAGCUGACCCUUCCCCGACGGACGGGCAGACGGUCGGAGAGACGGAUGCUGGUGUGGCGAUGACUCUUCAGGUGUCACGGGGUAAGGGGAAGCGUGCCGGCACCGAGCUCCGUGGCAGGCUCGCUCCCAGGUGGUGUUCCUGCCCAGUAAAACAAUAAACAGCCGCUUUAUUC